GACAGAGGUGCCGAGCGUUAGGCGGAAUCACUGGGCUUAAAGCGUGUGUAGGCGGACGUCUAAGUACCUUGUGAAAUCCCACGGCUCAACCGUGGAACGGCUUGGUAUACUGGGCGUCUUGAGCCACUUAGGGGUCGUCGGAACAAGCGGUGGAGCGGUGAAAUGCGUAGAUAUCAUUUGGAACGCCAAUGGUGAAAACAGGUAGCUGGGGGUGUGCUGACGCUGAGACACGAAAGCCAGGGGAGCAAACGGG
rnacentral:rRNA from 1 species